CUCAGGACGAACGCUGGCGGCGUGCUUAACACAUGCAAGUCGAGCGGGGAUGUUCGGAGUGCUUGCACACUGAACAUUUCAGCGGCGGACGGGUGAGUAACGCGUGAACAAUCUGUCCCAUACAGGGGGAUAACAGAUGGAAACAUCUGCUAAUACCGCAUAAGACCACGAAGCCACAUGGCUAUGGGGUAAAAGGAGCAAUCCGGUAUGGGGUGAGUUCGCGUCCGAUUAGCUGGUUGGUGAGGUAACGGCCCACCAAGGCGACGAUCGGUAGCCGACCUGAGAGGGUGAUCGGCCACACUGGAACUGAGAGACGGUCCAGACUCCUACGGGAGGCAGCAGUGGGGAAUAUUGCACAAUGGAGGGAACUCUGAUGCAGCGAUGCCGCGUGGAGGAAGAAGGUUUUCGGAUUGUAAACUCCUUUUAUCAGGGACGAUAAUGACGGUACCUGAAGAAAAAGCUCCGGCUAACUACGUGCCAGCAGCCGCGGUAAUACGUAGGGAGCGAGCGUUGUCCGGAAUUACUGGGUGUAAAGGGAGCGUAGGCGGGAUAGCAAGUCAGAUGUGAAAACUAUGGGCUCAACCUGUAGAUUGCAUUUGAAACUGUUAUUCUUGAGUGGAGUAGAGGCAAGCGGAAUUCCGAGUGUAGCGGUGAAAUGCGUAGAUAUUAGGAGGAACAUCGGUGGCGAAGGCGGCUUACUGGGCUUUUACUGACGCUGAGGCUCGAAAGUGUGGGUAGCAAACAGGAUUAGAUACCCUGGUAGUCCACACCGUAAACGAUGAUUACUAGGUGUUGGAGGAUUGACCCCUUCAGUGCCGCAGUUAACACAAUAAGUAAUCCACCUGGGGAGUACGACCGCAAGGUUGAAACUCAAAGGAAUUGACGGGGGCCCGCACAAGCAGUGGAGUAUGUGGUUUAAUUCGACGCAACGCGAAGAACCUUACCAGGGCUUGACAUCCUACUAACGAAGUAGAGAUACAUCAGGUGCCCUUAGGGGAAAGUAGAGACAGGUGGUGCAUGGUUGUCGUCAGCUCGUGUCGUGAGAUGUUGGGUUAAGUCCCGCAACGAGCGCAACCCCUGCCAUUAGUUGCUACGCAAGAGCACUCUAAUGGGACCGCUACCGACAAGGUGGAGGAAGGUGGGGACGACGUCAAAUCAUCAUGCCCCUUAUGACCUGGGCUACACACGUAAUACAAUGGUCAUUAACAGAGGGAAGCAAAGCCGCGAGGCAGAGCAAAACCCCAAAAAUGAUCUCAGUUCGGACCGCAGGCUGCAACCCGCCUGCGUGAAGUUGGAAUUGCUAGUAAUCGCAGAUCAGCAUGCUGCGGUGAAUACGUUACCGGGUCUUGCACACACCGCCCGUCA
rnacentral:rRNA from 1 species